ACUCCUACGGGAGGCAGCAGUGGGGAAUAUUGGACAAUGGGCGAAAGCCUGAUCCAGCCAUGCCGCGUGUGUGAAGAAGGUCUUCGGAUUGUAAAGCACUUUAAGUUGGGAGGAAGGGCAGUUACCUAAUACGUGAUUGUUUUGACGUUACCGACAGAAUAAGCACCGGCUAACUCUGUGCCAGCAGCCGCGGUAAUACAGAGGGGUGCAAGCGUUAAUCGGAAUUACUGGGCGUAAAGCGCGCGUAGGUGGUUUGUUAAGUUGGAUGUGAAAUCCCCGGGGCUCAACCUGGGAACUGCAUUCAAAACUGACUGACUAGAGUAUGGUAGAGGGUGGUGGAAUUUCCUGUGUAGCGGUGAAAUGCGUAGAUAUAGGAAGGAACACCAGUGGCGAAGGCGACCACCUGGACUGAUACUGACACUGAGGUGCGAAAGCGUGGGGAGCAAACAGGAUUAGAUA
rnacentral:rRNA from 1 species